rnacentral:rRNA from 1 species
UACGUAGGGUCCGAGCGUUUGUCCGGAAUUAUUGGGCGUAAAGGGCUCGUAGGCGGUUCGUCACGUCGGGAGUGAAAACUCGGGGCUUAACCCCGAGCCUGCUUCCGAUACGGGCAGACUAGAGGUAGGCAGGGGGAGAGCGGAACUCCUGGUGUAGCGGUGGAAUGCGCAGAUAUCAGGAAGAACACCGGUGGCGAAGGCGGAUCUCUGGGCCGAUACUGACGUGAGGAGCGAAAAGCGUGGGGGGAGCGAACAGG